rnacentral:lncRNA from 1 species
AAACAGAUGGCUAGAUUCACCUUUAAAAUAUCAGCUUCACAUUCAGGCAGAACAACCUGAUUUCUCAAUAAUCAGUCAGUGUUAACGUAAACCAAGAGCCCCACAAGAAGUCAUUAAAGCUGUGCUGUUAAGAGGCCAGAGCUCUAUAAAAUAGGCAAGAAACAAGGUCUUGAGAAACAUGCGCUGUCCUCAAAAACAACCUUGCAAACACAAUAAAUCUGAUCCUUGACCUUGCCUCUGUCUCAAGCUGCUGUCCUCAAGGGUAGAGAUCAUUGGAAAACCAAUGUAAUUUUGCAGUUUCUCCCCAUUUCUGGAAUCUGGGCAGACCUUGACCUUGCCAGCAGAAUGAGAUGGAAGAUCAUGCUAAUUCCAUACCAGGUCCUUGAGAAGCGCUGUUUGAUGCCACCCACUCUCCUGGAACUUGCCAAAGACAUGUGAACAAACUCAGGACAGCCUGCUGGAUGGGGAAAGACAUGGUCCAAUCUUUCCUUUCACCCCAACCAACAACCAACUAUGUGACUGAGAUCAUCCAGCCAACAUUCUCCUUCACCAGCAAGCCUAUCAGCUGAUUGUAUACACACGAGUAAGUGCAACUGUGAUCAGCCAAUCCUGGCCCUUAUGAGCAGAACCACCCAUCUGAUCCACAAGCUUGUAGACAAUAAUAUAUACUUACAGUUUUAGGCCACCCUGUUUAGAAAUAAUUUGUUAUGCAGUGGUAGCUAACUAACACAAUCUCUCUUCUGUUCUCAGGAUAUUGCCCCAAUUUUAAAAAAUUGCUCAAUGAAUGUGGAUGUAAAUAAAAAAAAGUUAUACAAGUAGAUGACAACCCUCAGGUGACUGUUACACA